GUGCCUAAUACAUGCAAGUCGAACGAACGGAGGAAGAGCUUGCUCUUCCAAAGUUAGUGGCGGACGGGUGAGUAACACGUGGGCAACCUGCCUGUAAGUUGGGGAUAACUCCGGGAAACCGGGGCUAAUACCGAAUAAUAAGUGGUGGCGCAUGCCACGGCUUUGAAAGAUGGUUUCGGCUAUCGCUUACAGAUGGGCCCGCGGUGCAUUAGCUAGUUGGUAGGGUAAUGGCCUACCAAGGCAACGAUGCAUAGCCGACCUGAGAGGGUGAUCGGCCACACUGGGACUGAGACACGGCCCAGACUCCUACGGGAGGCAGCAGUAGGGAAUCUUCCGCAAUGGACGAAAGUCUGACGGAGCAACGCCGCGUGUAUGAAGAAGGUUUUCGGAUCGUAAAGUACUGUUGUUAGAGAAGAACAAGGAUAAGAGUAACUGCUUGUCCCUUGACGGUAUCUAACCA
rnacentral:rRNA from 1 species